ensembl:lncRNA
CAAAUAUAAAUGCUUUCAACUUUUAUGAUGUUAACUGUUCAAAAAAAUAUUUUUGAUAACAGCACUGUUUUUGUUUCACAGAUUUCUCCCCUUUCCUUGUAAGCAUCAGUCCCUCACAAUACUGAGCAUAAGCUCUACAUGCAAAAAAAAAUAUGAAUAACUUAACAAAGCCAAAGUUUAUUAGAAACCACAUCUACUUUCAUUUGAAAGUGGGUUUCUUAGCCUCAUCCGUAAGAGGGUAGUGACAGAAAGAAAAAGCAAUAAAAUGAGUAAAUUCUAAAUUGCUCAAAUUUAAAUUUGGUGAAUCCAUCCUACCUGGUCUGUCUUCUUCUGCAAGUCAGCAACAGUGUUGCAGUUUAACCUAGCAAAGGAGGGGAGUUCUCUUUUUCUUUACUUAAACUGUUCCUUAUCUCAACCCAUGACCCUUUUUUUUCAUCACAUUUCCUCCCCUGUACUUUUGAGGAAGGGGAAGUGAGAGAACAGCAUAAUGGAAUUUGGCUUGACCACUCUUGGCGUGGUCAAGAAUCACAUACAUACUCAGAUUAGUGGCAUGAAGGGCCACCAAGUAUCACCAGAUUAACUAGGGUACUCUCUCCAUUCUUCCCUCAUCACACAAUUAGGAAAGUAUUUUUUGUUUUGUUCUUUCAUUUAUGUUUUGUACUUUGGUCUCUCAAUUCUCAUUUUUUUGUGGUUUGUCCCCAUCUUUCAGCCUCAUUCACUGGAUUAGCAGAUUUUUCUAACUCUUGCAAGAUCCUUUUCUCCAGAAUGGGAUUGUGUUUAGAGAAAACUCAGAGGUUCCUUCAGCGGUGUGAAAAUAGUUCAGGACAGAAAAGCCAAUACCAGAACACUUUUCCAGCGAAUAGAUAUCAAACCCCUGCAAGUUUUCAUCAGACAAAGAGCAGUAAAACAAAGAAACAAAGCCAACCAGGAUGUGCUGCUCCUUCACAAGGAUCCCACUAGAGCUCAGUCUUGGCUGUGCCCAUCACAAAGUCUGCACUCCACAGGACCUAGCCCUGGAAAGCACAGAGAAGAACUGAGUUAGAUUCUUAGGCCAUUGAGUCACAUUUGAAGCCUAUUCCCUUUUAUUGGAUAAUAGCCUAUACAAUAUAUAACCAGAAAAUUGGCAGCUCCUUUACACUGCUAUUAGUGUUAAUAGCUAAUGAACUAUAAAAGCAACAGGGUUUUUUUUUCCCCAAUUGAUUAAUUUAAAUUUAACCUUAAUUUGUUUAGAUCUCACUGAGAAGCCGCUACCUUAUUCUGAGCUACAACUGUUGCAAUUAGCAGAAGUAUCCCACUGUGAAUAUAAGGCUGAUUGCAUGCUAUGCAUCUAUUGUGAGAUGACACUGCUUAGAUGUCUGUUGAAGAGAUCAGACAACUAACUCCAAAAAAAUACAGGAUUAUUUGCAAAUAUUUAGUCAGCAGCAUAUUCUGAAGUGGACUGUUUCCAUUUCAAAAAACAUAUGCAUGUUUUAUAACAUGGUAACAUGCUGUGGGUGAAAAUAUUGCAUCCCUUACUUAUUACAUCCACUGUUUCUGAGACUCAUUUUUACAGCUAUGAACAAAAUGUUUACUUUUUUGUGAUACAUUUCUGUUUUUCUCUUUUUAUCUUCAGAAUUCUUACCACUUGGAUUCUAACAUAGCAUCUCCACAGAGCAAGUAGAUUUAUAAAGAAAUUGUAGCACUUGUGGGAAAUUUGUGUCAUCGUAAAGCAGUACAGGAAUGAGGGGAGGAGCGUGUGUAAAUUGUUCGGAGUUGCUGUUUUGAUGCUACAUGGUUUUGUUGUUGGGAAUUCCUUUUGUUGAUGUAAGAGAAGUUUGUGAAGUUUAGGUGAUGAAUCUUUAUAAAUGUACAUUGUAAUGUGUUAUUGGAUGUAUAUAAUGCAUAUUUCUAUCAUGAGCUUUCAAACACCCAUAGCUCACACUGGUGCCACCUUCAGUGGGUGGCAAAUUCUAAGACACUUCUGUCAAAGCUUUUAAUGAAAAUAAACUAUUUUAUUAAAAAUCCUAGAUUGUUUUUCAUCAUUAGAUAAACGCUAAGAAGGAGAUUUAAAAAAUGCUCAUCUAAACUGUAAAGACUUUCUGUUGCUUAUGCUGAAGAAUUAAUUCUUACCAGAAAAUAGAAUACUGUAGGAUACCACCAGAUUUUUAAAAACAAUAGCAAAGUAAAAUUCUGUGAUACUGGAGCACAUCCAGAUCAAUUGGGGUAUGGCUUUCCCGAAGGCUAGGAAAGCCACAUAUCAAUAGAAAGUUAUUAGCUAAAAAUAAGGUAAUGUAAAUUAUAUUUUACUUUUCUAGAUUACUGAUACCAUAGGGUAAUCACACACCAAAAACUGUGUUAUCUGGCCACUCUGACUCAAAGGAGAUUUUUUCAUUCAUUUUAAUAGGAUGUAAAUUCCACUCUCAGUAAGAGAGACCCUGCACAAACAAACAAAACAAAACAAAACAAAACAAAAAACACAACAAAAAAACACCUCAAAACACCUCACCCACAACUCCGGACAUCAUCGUUGUUAUCAGAACAUUAUAGUUUCCCAUUGGCUCUUCAAUAUCACAGCAUGGCAGAAGCCCUGGUGUUCAAGAUAAAGGGUCACCAAACUACAGUCCUUCAUUGCACGUGAAUCACUAACCUGACAAGUGCAGCUGCCAUGCCAAGAAGAUAUAAAAAGACUCACGAGUGAGGAACUGCUGGUAAACAGCCUGCUGAUUAGUUCCAUUCCCCAGAGGUGGGAAGAGGCAAGAAAACAGGUGGUGUCUGCAGUCACUGCCAUCAGCUCUUCUGCUUCAUCAUCAGCUUCACAUCUGAUCCAACCCCAGCAGUCUCAAGACCACUGUGAGACUACUCCUAGCACUUCUCUCCUCUUGGCUUCCUAAGGAUAAGGUAGGGGUAUGAUGGCUCUCAAACAUUUGAAGAGGUUGAUAGGUAUCCAAGUGUCAAGAAGGUUGUCUGCACUUGUUGCAGAUGUUUCAGAGAUAAAGCAAGUAUUCCCUUCUGUGCAACUUCACACAACCCACGUUAUAUAUGUGUGGAAAAUAUGGAUAGUUUUAUGUAGCUAAAUUUGCUUAUGCUAGCCUUGGUUAGAUAAACUUACUCAUUCUCCCAGGACAUUAUUUUCAAAUACAAUUUUCUGGAAAGGCAUGGAUAUCAAAAAUAAAUUUAUCUUGAAUGAAGUGGGUUUUUGUUUUGUUCUUAAAGCAAAUGAAGGACGGGAAUCCUGAUGAUUUCAAACUGUUGCAAAGUUUUAACAAUUUAAUAAAUUCAAAUUAAUUCUGAGUAUUUCUUUAAGAGACAGCAGAAAUCUCUUUGAAUUUAGUUUUUCUUCACAGCAGAAACCACAACCUUUCUGAUCCCUCAGCAGUGCUAACAACUAGAAAUAGCAACUGCUUUGGCACUACCUGCAGCUCUUACAGCUUUCUGGGCCAGUCUGCCCAGGCAUUUAGCUACUCUGUAAGGUCUUUUUGGCAGUAUUUAGACACAACCAUAGACUCCUGAAACAGUCUUUCCAUCUUGCACUAUGAAGUCUUAAAAGGUACCAGUUUUCAAACACGAGUUAAGCUUGAUAAUGAAAUGUAACAAUUGCUAGAGUUCAGUUUACCCAGUGUGUAAAAGCACUAAGUCUACACAAUACAAGAUGGAGUGCUCAAACCCAAGGAGAAAGAAGAAAACAAGCAGGUCAUGUUAUCUUAAAUGAGAACACUUUCCAUCUCUCCUCUUUGGGCUGAGACACUGCGCAGCCAGGUACGCAAGAUGUAGAGCAACCAGCAACUACGGCACAUACUCAUGAAGCAGCAGGAAUGGGAUCUCACACCUGCCUCCAAGGCUGUUUGGAAACAGCACAUCCACCUCAGCUUGGUCUCCUCUGAAAGCAUGACCUAGGAGAAAAGAUGGAGUCAUUUUUGCUUACUGUUCUGCUGGCCCCAUCAAUAUUGUCACAUCCAAUGCAAGCCAACUAGAAGGCACGAAGAUUGCUUUCGCUCUGUGUGCUCCAUGAUCUAGAGAUGAAGACUCUCUCCUAGGAUGCAGACGCUGGGGCUAUGACUCAAUUCAGCCAAACUGGGCUCCUCACCCUCCUGCUGUGGUGAUAAGCAACUUCACCACCAAGAUCUUAUGCAGAGAACACUAACAGCAUUCACUGGGAUUUCCUCCUGUUCUCCCAGCAGGCUCCAGAAACUGGAUUUCCUAGAAGGCUGCUAGAAGAAAGCAAACUACCUGCAAGGAAAGACGUAUGUGACACAGGAGAAACUGAGUCUUUUUUUCAUGCCAUUUCAGACACGUAUGUCUCUCCACUGCGCAGAAGAGGUAAAAAUUUAUGUUCAUUUGCUCUCUGUUAAGAUAUCCCAACUUCACUGUAGGCAUUACCCAAGGUAGGCAAGUUGAUUGGACUCACACUGCUUUGAACAAGACUGUUCUGAAUGGAAGACAGCCCAAAAAAAACACAGAGAAAAUAAAUGAUUCGUAACUGAAUCUCUGAUGAUUCAGUAGUUUCAGAAUUCGAUUUCAGAAUUCGAAUUCAGAUUCGUAACUGAACUACUCUAUGUAAUGUUUAGCAACUAUUUGACUGGAAAAAAAAGAAAAAGGGGGAGAGAGAUCUUCAUUCAGCACUAGGGUGAAAAAAAAAAUCUUUCAAAACUACUGGGGUGGAGGAACAACUGAAUUAACAACACAGAAUGAAAAAUUAAUUCCCAGAAUCUAAAAUAACAAACAGUCCAUGGACUGGCACACCUGAGAUUCCUGCUAUUGAUGUUAAAAUUAUUUCUAUCUGGCUAUAGCUUGCUUAAGCAUACAACGAUCAUCUUAAAUAAUCCACAUUAAAACAGAUGGAUCUCUUAUGGAAUAUCAGCACUGAAAAUCUGUAAUUAGGACAAUUUCAUGCCACAGACCUAGGACGCAAGGCAAAACUGAUUUUCUCUCUCUCGUGCUAUGACUAUUUGUCAUUUAUGUGAAAAGAAGCAGUCAAAGCAGGAAAGACAAAAAAAAAACAAAAAACAAAAACAAAAACUAUGCUGACUUUAUAGCACUGGACUCAGCCCAGCAGACUCUUCCUUACUCUUAAGCUGGUUGUCUCUGGUUUCAUAGUAUCAUAGAAUCAUAGAAUUGCUCAGGUUGGAAAAGACCUUAAAGAUCAUAAAGUCCAAACGCAACCUAACCAUACUACCCUAACUCUAACAAUCCUCUGCUAAGUCAUGUGCCUGAGCACCACAUCCCAAAAGCAAAUUCCUCCCAAAGCAACAAUUUCUUUUGUACAGAUGUUUUAUCAAAGUCUCCCUGUAAAUUUCUACAGGGUUAUAAAUGCUGAUUUGCUAAAAUUAUUUCUAUAAG